ensembl:lncRNA
AGAAGCAAAGAGCUGAAGAGGCGGGUGAUGAAUUUGGGUGAAAACCACAGCAACCAUCGCUCUCUGCAUGUCAGACACUCUCAAGAGCCAGUAUUGCAAGUCUGGAGUAUGUGUGAAAAUGGGAGAGAUUGCAGACAGCAAGUGGCAGACGAGCUGCAGCCUCCGUCCUGCCCAUUGCUGUGGGUCUGCAGGAUGGGGCUGUCCUCAGCAGCAUGUCUUCUGGAGUUGUGCCUACUGGAAAAUGCAAGCUCCCCGUGCUGGGACUCUCCUCCUUUUCUUGCUGUGCCAGUGCCUGACCACUCCUUUGGAGAAGAAAUGUUUCCUGAUAUCCAACCUGAAAAGGGAAGGGAAGCAUGGAGAUUAC